rnacentral:rRNA from 1 species
CACGUAGGGUGCGAGCGUUGUCCGGAAUCACUGGGCGUAAAGGGUGCGUAGGCGGGUCUUUAAGUCAGGGGUGAAAUCCUGGAGCUCAACUCCAGAACUGCCUUUGAUACUGAGGAUCUUGAGUUCGGGAGAGGUGAGUGGAACUGCGAGUGUAGAGGUGAAAUUCGUAGAUAUUCGCAAGAACACCAGUGGCGAAGGCGGCUCACUGGCCCGAUACUGACGCUGAGGCACGAAAGCGUGGGAGCAACAGGG